UCCUGUGAGGCAGAGAGGCCUCCGUUGGACACCAGAGAGAGGCCACUGGGAGACAGAAUGAUGCCGGCAAAACCUCCUGGUCCAUCUUUUCAUGGGGGCAGAAGGGAAGCAGCGGCUGUGGAACCAGAUCAGGGUCCAGUGUGCUUUGAAGAUGUCGCUGUUUGUUUCACGGACGAGGAGU